AAUUUUGUCUAAGAGUUUUGCUCAAAAUGGUCAAUUAUUGGAAUUAAUGGGUUUCACUCUUGAUUCAAACCAAUUUCUGAUCACAUUUGCUUUGUGUUGCCGACUGCAAGAACUUAGAUCUUGAGAUGGGCAUUGAGUAAGUGCAGUCUCAGAUCAUGAUCUCGGGAAUUGCUCUUUUUUCCAUGUUAAGACCAUUUAAUUUUGGGGGUAAAAUUUGUGCAAGAAAUUCUGGGUUGCUGAGUGGGGGGCUAUCAUAUCAUCCGUCGUCAUUUUGGGAUAGCAUGGUGUUGGGCAUGGUUGGAGUAAGAUGUGUUCAAAUACCAAUCAUAAUUGAAUCAUGGUGAGCGAGGGUUCUCUUAAGAAAUUUGGAGGUGAUCAAAUAACAAGCUAGAGAAGUGUUAUGGUCUGCCUGGUUGAGACUAUUGGUAUGAGCUCUAAAUGAACUUACAGGUGCAUUGACCAACGGUUGAGGGCUACCAGCUUUACUCUGGUAUUUGACUCAUAUGAAGUGGAGAUGCCAAUUUAUGUCAUAUGGUGGAUUUUUUUCACUGCCUAGAUUUCCAUCCGAGGGAUGAAAUUAUUCUCGUGGAGAGACAUUGAUUGAGCUGUAUUGGUGUAAGGGCCAUCUGAAUUAUGUGUAGCAACUUCUUGAUCUAUUUGUCAGGUUCAUAAAGGGUUGAUUUGCAGGUGAAGUUUGGGAUCUUCACAUUUCAUUUCCUACGUCAUCCUGCAAAUUAGGGAUUUGUUUCAACUAAAUAUAUGGUAGUGUGAAUGGGCAUAUCAAUGGCACCCGGUGGUUAAUAGUUGGAUUAACUGGAUUCCUUUCAUCGUAUGAACUCUUACAUACUUUUUUUGUGGUCAAUGACUGAAGGUAUCAUUGGUCAUUUCAAGAGGAUAUGGUUAAGCCCGCUAGAUUCUGCAGAAAAUUAUUCUAGCAGCAUGCAUGGAAAUCCAUUGGUCUAUUUCUGAAAGCCGUGGAGGAACGAACUAUUGUGACCAUGCAAGUAAGAUUUGGAGUUUGAUUUCUGAAUUAACCGAAGAGUAGGAUGGGUGCCAUUGUUUAAUCUGGUUUUUGGAUGCUUCAAUUUGUGUGGAUUUUUUAAUGACGGUUUUUUUCCUGUGAGCUUUUCACUGUGGUCUUACUGAGCCUCCCAGGUGCAAUUCAACUGAAGAAUUCUGUAUUUAAGCAUGGGUUGAUUAUGCUGUGUGAUUAUUUCUGUACGUGUUGUUCAUUUAAGAUUGGGCUAUCGGUGGAUGUCCUUCCUCAUUGCCAGGACAUCACCACACUGAUUUUUUUUUUCUUCAAGACUUGUGCUUUUGGUCUCAUUGCUGGGUUUGUGAAAAAUUGGAAAUAGAUUACCUGUAGGCUAUGAUAAUUCAAAAUGUGGGUUUUACAUGUACUAACACUGGACAUGUGGAAAGAAGGACGUGUACAUUGCAAGUUGCUAUGGUUUUGUUAUCUUAUUUGCUUCUGUUCAAGUUUCUGAUGAUAUGGGUGGUAACGUAUUGAACGUAUACAGGCAGUUAUCAUCAGAACUUUCUCUCUUGUCUGCAUCUUUGCACCUUCUAUUGCUCUGUCCACAGAGAGGAGAUGCCAACAAUGAAUGGCAAUGGUUGUCAAUUUGUUUGGAUGGUCCUUUUGCAGUUGUAUCAGGGAAAAUCUUUGGAGAUAUAUGGAUGUUGUACAUCAAAUAAUCUUCCUAUACAAUAUGUUACUUUUCUUAAUAUCUUAUAAAUCCACUACCAUCUUUCUUUCAGGAUAUAGAAUACAUGCAGGUUCAGCUUCUCCAACACGUCAUCGGGAUGAUCACCGGUAUGUUUCUGAUUUUGAUCGUUCUGGUGAUCUCAUGCGGGGCCGUGAAUUUGGAGGCAGGAGCGAUCAUGGUAGAUAUCGAGAGACUUCACCCCAUUACAGUCGAAGAAUAAGUGGUGGCAGGCCAUAUGGGAGAGGUUUUGCUCCUGAGCCAUUUAGAGGGGAACGUAGUAAUAAUCCAAAUGUGCGUCCUAGGGAUGGGGAUUGGUAUUGCUCAGAUCCUUUGUAAGUACUCACCUAACACCACAAUUUGAUAUAUAUAUAUAUAUAUAUAUAUAUAUAUAUAUGACAAUGGAUUUGCUUCUUUUAUAUACAGACGAACAUUUGUUGAUACCCAUGCCAUUACACCUUUUUCUCAUAUGAACGAGAAAUUCAACCAUUGCAUGGAACAGGAUCCUUUUCUAUUGAUAUGUCUUUUGGUUGGUUGAAUUAUUAUUACUUUUUGUUUGGAGGAGUUGAUGAUUGUGUGUGUAUUUUAUUUUUAUGUUUUUGAAAAAUAGUUUUGAGGCUGCUUUUCUUGAAAGCAUUUUUUUUCAUAUGUAUUGCUUUUAUGGAUUUCAAAAAAGAAAAAACAUAUUACUUUUAAGUUGCUUCCUCAGCGUGGCCGCUGGGCACGUGAUGUGAGAGAGAGGAGCCGCUCCCCUAUUAGAGAUCCAAUUAGAUCUCCAUUGAGAGUCUCGCUUCGGUCUCCACGCGGCCUUCCACCAAAAGACCUCCGUAGAGAUGUGUUUGUCGAAAGGGAGCACAUUUAUAGGCGCGGCCUUGGACAAGAGCGCGAUGGAGGUCCAUUUUAGCGUUGAAAAUUGAGCAGCACCCCGUAAUCUGUGUUUACAGCCUUGGAAAGAGGAUGUUAAGAAGAGCCUGCUUAAUUUUUUCCUGACAGGCCCUGUGUGUCGAAACCUGCUAUUGGGGUCCUCUAUCUUCUGCCUCGUGUAUUUCGUAUUUCGUAUUUCUUCUUAUUAUUGUAUGGUGUAGUUAGUUGUUGACAGCCUUCAAACAUAUUGAAGUAAAUGCCUUGCAUAUAUACGGUGUAUCUUUGGUUUA